rnacentral:rRNA from 1 species
UAGCGAAGGGGGCUAGCGUUGUUCGGAAUUACUGGGCGUAAAGCGCGUGUAGGCGGGUCUUUAAGUCAGGGGUGAAUGCCCAAGGCUCAACCUUGGAACUGCCUUUGAUACUGGAGACCUUGAGUCCGGGAGAGGUGAGUGGAAUUGCGAGUGUAGAGGUGAAAUUCGUAGAUAUUCGCAAGAACACCAGUGGCGAACGGCGGACUC